rnacentral:tmRNA from 1 species
GGGGGCGAUUUGGAUUCGACGACGGUUGCGAACCCUAAGGUGCAUGCCGUGAUGACAGCCAAUCACGUAAAUCAAAAGCUGUUAACUUUUAGUUGCCAAUGAUGACAACUACGGUGCCCAACUCGCUGCGUAAGCAGUGACUAAGCACUUCUGGAGGAUUCGUCC